UAUUAAGAAGAAACAAUAAUAUUUCCCUAAUAGAAGCUUAAAUUCUAUGCACUGAUCUGCCACCUUAAUAAU
rnacentral:tRNA from 1 species